rnacentral:rRNA from 1 species
UACGAAGGGGGCUAGCGUUGCUCGGAAUCACUGGGCGUAAAGGGUGCGUAGGCGGGUCUUUAAGUCAGGGGUGAAAUCCUGGAGCUCAACUCCAGAACUGCCUUUGAUACUGAAGAUCUUGAGUUCGGGAGAGGUGAGUGGAACUGCGGGUGUAGAGGUGAAAUUCGUAGAUAUUCGCAAGAACACCAGUGGCGAAGGCGGCUCACUGGCCCGAUACUGACGCUGAGGCGCGAAAGCGUGGGGAGCAAACAGG